rnacentral:rRNA from 1 species
UUUAUCAAAAACAUUGCCUUUUGAACAACAAUAAAUAUAAGAGGGUCCCGCCUGCCCUGUGACUAUAAGUUUAACGGCCGUGGUAUUUUGACCGUGCGAAGGUAGCGCAAUCACUUUCUUUAAAUGGAGACCGUAUGAAUGGCAUAACGAGGGCUUAACUGUCUCCUUUUUCAGGUCAAUGAAAUGAUCUCCCCGUGCAGAAGCGGGGAUAAUAACAUAAGACGAGAAGACCCUAUGGAGCUUUAGACACCAAGCAGCCCAUGUCAAAACCACCCCCACACGGAAAUAAACUAAAUGGACCCUGCCCUAUUGUCUUUGGUUGGGGCGACCACGGGGAAACACAAAACCCCCACGCGGAAUGGGAGCACACCUCCUAAAACCAAGAGCCACAGCUCUAAUUAACAGAAUUUCUGACCACUAUGAUCCGGCAAUGCCGAUCAAACGGACCGAGUUACCCUUAGGGAUAAACAGGCGCACAUCCUU